rnacentral:tRNA from 1 species
AUAUAAAACUUAAAACUUUUCACAAGCA